rnacentral:lncRNA from 1 species
CUUGACCAGGGGUGGAGAAGGGACCCCCUCAGUGACCCACUGGAUGAGCUGCAGCACGCUCUCAUGUGAGUUGCCAUGUGAGUUCUGGGGUCUUGCUCAGAGCGCAUUUUCUAGUCUGGGGAAAUUGGCUCAUGCAUUUCCACAUGAUGGAGUCUACCUGGGGGGCCCUGUCCCUCUUGGCGCCAUCCCACUCCAGAGAGGCUCUGCUUGAAAACCUCAUUCUUUCUUCACAACAGAUGCUGGGUUCAGUCCAGAAUCCUCCGUCAUGUUUGCAGUGUAUGUGCAGUGCUCCAGCCAGGAAGGAUAGGGAGCCAAAAAGCGCUGGGAGAGGUGCAGAAAGCGCCCCCUCCACGCCUGGCUCUUGAGACAGCAGCAAGGUGGCCAGUGCAGGGCGGAGGAAGCCCUGCGUCCCAUCCCCAUGGCUCUCCAGGGCCAGCACUUCUGACCUCUCAGCAGGACACUCCCACCUCUCAGUUGGCUUUAUUGGGAACAGCAACUUUCCAACUUUCAUCACAUAAGAAUCAGCUGGGAGGUUAUCAAUAAUGCAGAUUUCCAAGCCUCACUCCGGGAUGUGGGGUGUGGCCCAAGAAGCGGCACUUUGAGUCAGCCCUGCGUGGUUCUGAUACACGCGUUCCCAGAUCCCACACUGAGAAACAGUGGUGGGGCCUCCUUGGCGGCCCCUCAUGAGGCCAGCGGUGAGGACUCCAGGUUUCUAUCCAGCCACCUGGCCGUCAGCCUCACAGAGUUAGCUCCUAAGGCCUGGAACCCCUCGAAUUCUCCUUACUGAACUGCCAGGACUUUAGGAAAGCAAUAAAAGGACUUGGCGGGAGUGAUGGCACUGAUACUCUGAAGGAAGAGCCAAUGUGGUUUCCAUACUAAUGGCACUCACUUGAUAGAAAGGCACACCCUGAGCUCUGUACCAGUCUGCAUCCCUCCUCACUGAGGCCGGAGACGUCCUUUACCCCGCGGAGCUACAGGAGUCAGCUCUGUGUUACUCUCGUCUGGAGCCUCUUGUAUGUUCCCUGGAGAUGUAGGCAUUCUGGAAACAGAGCACGACAUAGUCACAAUUUCCAAGGGAUCAACUGAACUAGAAAAGAGCACAAACAUCUCACACAGAUUGGCAACAAUGCUACUGACAACAAUGAUCUCAAUCUGUGGCUUCGAGGAUCUGAAGACUUCUUGGAGAUAAACACAUCUGGAUGGGCUGAAAGCUAGUCAUGUGAAUCAGAACAGCCCCACGCUCCUGUCCAAAAAGAAACGUAAAGGGGCUGGCUCAGAUGUGCUGCACAGCAAUUGAAGAAGUUGAGUAUCAUCUGCUUUUCCUUUGGCUUACCUUUAUUGUUUAUUUGAUCUGUUUUCGUAGGAAUUUGUAUCAUCACUCCAACGUCUGCAAAAAAACCAGCCCUCAGGUCUAAACAUAGUUACUUUUCAGCUCUUGUCAUACAGUUCGAGCUGGAAAUGAACGCCAAACAUGUUACAAGUCCCCGCUCGCUCCAUGCUGCGCCACCCGAAGAGGCUUGGCUGGUGGCAAGCUCUGAGACUCAGGUGGAGGGGCUCGUUUGGGGCUGUCACUUCCUGGGAGAGACACUGGCUCCACUUUGAACCUCAGCUGCAACCCACAAAGUGA